UCCUGGUUAGCUAAGUUGGUAGAGGGCUCCACCAGAAAUGGAGAGGUCCCUGGUUCGAUAGCAGGAUCAGACA
rnacentral:tRNA from 1 species